ensembl:lncRNA
CCCAGUAGGAGAUGACUAUAAACUAACUGCUAUGUAUAACAGCAGAAGUGGACAGAAUCCCAGCUGUAACAGCAGUGAUUUAUGAUUUAGCCUUAACUAGUAUGUAAAAUGGUAUCAAGUCACAAUAUUUACCUGGCUCUUUACUUCCUUUUAAAACUUCUUUAUGAUUUUCUUUUACAAAAAAAAUCCCUCAAUUAUUAAAUCUGAUCUUGUUCAGUGCACAUAUGAUAUAGAAUGAUUCACAUAUGUGUUUCAUUUUUACAUCUGGCCAUAAUAUUUUGACUUUAAAAUAUACAUAUCCUUUACUUUUCUCUCCUCUCUCUCCCUCCCACUCACAGGAGCCACCCAGGUCGGCCUGAGGUGAAGUAAAAAUCAACAGACAGAAUAAGAGAUUUUUCCAUUUAAAAAUUUAUGGAUGACUCCUGGUCAUAUAUUUCAGUGGGUGAGUAGAUGUGUUUUGGGGGUCAGUUAACAGAGUGACCCUGAAAAGUGCUGAGCUAUAAAUGUAACCCAGCAUUUACUGUUUCCUUUUUCAAAUUUGGUGUUUCUUUUUCUCUUCUUUUUUUUUCCUGCCUCACUUUUCUAAGUGUAUUUCUCCAUUUCUCUCCCCUGAUUUCCUCCAUUUUGUUUCUCUUUACCACUUUUUGACACUGACUGGAUAUGAUAUACACAAGUUUAUAUCUUUAAAAAACUCUUGAGGAAUUAAACACUUGAUGGCUUCUAAUUAAUAAUUUAAUUAACUGCAAAAUGACAUUGACACCCAGCAGUCUUGCUUUUAUAUGUGAAUAUAACCAACUUGCAACCAGUGAGUCCCUGUGACUGGGACCAAUUGCAAGUGAGUUUCACUCAUCAGUGGAGACUGCCCCAGAUUGCAAUAUGUUGUCAGUUUUUCAGCCUUUUUGCAAACCUUCACCAAUUUAUCUAAGACUAAUCCCAUGCAAGAGAAGUUACAUAAUUGGCUGUCUACAGACUGCUUCCUAUCAAGCAGCUGUUGCAGUAUCUUUCCAAUCAACUUGUUGCCCAGAGGCUGAGCUUGAUGGAUUUGUGCAGCGUCUGCAGUGAUUGGAUGCUGUACCAAUCUACUAUGGUGAGG